AGCCUGAUGCAGCCAUGCCGCGUGUAUGAAGAAGGCCUUCGGGUUGUAAAGUACUUUCAGCAGUGAGGAAGGUGGAGUCGUUAAUAGCGGCCUCGUUUGACGUUAGCUGCAGAAGAAGCACCGGCUAACUCCGUGCCAGCAGCCGCGGUAAUACGGAGGGUGCGAGCGUUAAUCGGAAUUACUGGGCGUAAAGCGCAUGCAGGUGGUUUGUUAAGUCAGAUGUGAAAGCCCGGGGCUCAACCUCGGAAUUGCAUUUGAAACUGGCAGACUAGAGUACUGUAGAGGGGGGUAGAAUUUCAGGUGUAGCGGUGAAAUGCGUAGAGAUCUGAAGGAAUACCGGUGGCGAAGGCGGCCCCCUGGACAGAUACUGACACUCAGAUGCGAAAGCGUGGGGAGCAAACAGGAUUAGAUACCCUGGUAGUCCACGCCGUAAACGAUGUCUACUUGGAGGUUGUGGCCUUGAGCCGUGGCUUUCGGAGCUAACGCGUUAAGUAGACCGCCUGGG
rnacentral:rRNA from 1 species